rnacentral:rRNA from 1 species
UACGUAGGGUCCGAGCGUUGUCCGGAGUUACUGGGCGUAAAGCGCGCGCAGGCGGCGGUGCUGGCCGGCGUGAAAGCCCCCGGCUCAACCGGGGAGGGUCGUCGGGGACCGCACCGCUUGAGGGCGGUAGGGGCUGGUGGAAUGCCUGGUGUAGUGGUGAAAUGCGUAGAGAUCAGGCGGAACACCCGUGGCGAAGGCGGCCAGCUGGGCCGUCCCUGACGCUGAGGCGCGAAGGCGUGGGGAGCGAACGGG